AAGCGGUGGAGCAUGUGGUUAAUUCGACGCAACGACGAAGAACCUUACCAGGGCUUGACAUCCCCUGACCGCGUAUGAAAGUACGUUUUCACCUCGGGUGACAGGGAGGACAGGUGGUGCAUGGUUGUCGUCAGCUCGUGUCGUGAGAUGUUGGGUUAAGUCCCGCAACGAGCGCAACCCCUACGUUUAGUUGCUAACGCGUGAAGGCGAGCACUCUAGACGAACUGCCGUUGACAAAACGGAGGAAGGUGGGAUGACGUCAAAUCAUCAUGCCCCUUAUGUUCUGGGCUACACACGUGCUACAAUGGCCGGUACAGACGGACGCAAAGCCGCGAGGUGGAGCAAAUCCUAAAAAGCCGGUCUCAGUUCGGAUUGCAGGCUGCAAUUCGCCUGCAUGAAGUCGGAAUCGCUAGUAAUCGCAGGUCAGCAUACUGCGGUCGAACACGUUCCCGGGCCUU
rnacentral:rRNA from 1 species